CGUCCGGCAGCCGGGCGGCCGCGUCGCCGCCGUUGGGCAUGGCGCAACCCCGCUCCGUUCCGACGGAGCCGGCCGC
rnacentral:tRNA from 1 species